AGCAGGCAACGACCAACUUUUCUUCUCUCUAGGCAACAGGAUCUCACCAAGUUGCCCAGGCCGAGCUUGAACUUGCAAUCCUCUGGCUUCUGCCAUCCAAGUAGCUGGAAUUAAGGAGUUUGGAAGAUGAUUGGACUGCAUCUGGAACCCUAGGGAAAGCGCAAAUUCAAAAUCUGAAGUUCAUUUCCACUGAUUUUGUAUCAUUUUACAUGGGGUCUUCUCAGGUGCUGACUACUGAGUGGCUGUGAAGUACAUUCCUGCACAGCCUUUCCCGAGGGAGGCAUCUUCUUUGAUACCGAGGAAGAAAGAGCUGCUGAAGGUGGGGUCAAGGUCAGCACGUUUCAAAGAGAACCACAUCACACCCAUCGUAGAGGGAGUUCAUCAGAGAGCCUCAUUACGUCCACUGUAUUAUCUAGUCAUGACGUAAUGUUUGUCUAGAUUGCUGCCAUUUUUGUGCUGAGUAAUCCACACAAGAUGUCAUUCAAUC
rnacentral:lncRNA from 1 species